CAAAGUGGCUCCAGUUUAUAGGGGAGGGGCUGGGAUGCUCCUCCUGGCAAGAGAGAUGAAGCAGUUAAACAAUAUUACUAGCAAGGGGCAGGAUCCUAGGGCUGUGGGUAUAUAAGGCGGCGCUUUCAGCGCAGAGCUGCUGCUGCUGCAAGAGACGCGAGUAGGGCGCACCGGCUCAGUCUCCCACUAGCUAGAGGCCAGGAAAAGAGCAAAAAGGGCUUGUGAGGUCCAAGCCCGGGCUCCUUCUUCACCUCUGGGACAGAUACAGGACCCACUAACUUCCUUCUUUCCCCUCUCCCCAAACGCGCACCCGACCGCUACUGCGCUUCAGCCAAGCACACCCACGCGCGGCACCAACGCGCCUGGAGGCAGGUCGGGGCCGAAGGCGAUGCGUGCAGGUGGCCGGGCAGCUUGGCUCGGGCGGCGGGAGUAGAGCCCAGCGUGGAGGCAGGGAGGCUGCGAGGUUAGAUCCGCAGGCUGCGCCGGGCAGAGGCCGCCUUCGCUCCGCCUAACACCUGCUGCUGCUGCCGCUGCUGCUGCGGGCCGCGAUGAGCCGCGUGGUCUGGCUGCUGCUGGGCGCCGCGCUGCUCUGCGGCCACGGCGCCUUCUGCCGCCGGGUGGUCAGCGGGCAAAAGGUGUGUUUUGCUGAUUUAAAGCAUCCCUGCUACAAAAUGGCCUAUUUCCAUGAGCUGUCCAGCCGUGUGAGCUUCCAGGAGGCACGCCUAGCUUGUGAGAGUGAAGGGGGGGCCCUUCUCACUCUUGAGAAUGAAGCAGAACAGAAGUUAAUAGAAAGCAUGUUGCAAAAUCUCACAAAACCAGGAACAGGGAUUUCUGAUGGUGAUUUCUGGAUAGGACUCUGGAGAAAUGGUGAUGGACAAGCAUCUGGUGCCUGCCCAGAUCUCUACCAGUGGUCUGAUAAAAGCCAUUCCCAGUACCGAAAUUGGUACACCGAUGAACCUUCCUGUGGAAGUGAAAAGUGUGUUGUGAUGUAUCAUCAGCCAACUGCCAAUCCUGGCCUUGGUGGUCCCUAUCUUUACCAGUGGAAUGAUGACAGGUGCAAUAUGAAGCACAAUUAUAUCUGCAAAUAUGAACCAGAAAUUAAUCCAACUGCUCCUGUAGAAAAGCCUUAUUUUACAAAUCAACCAGGAGACACCCAUCAAAAUGUUGUUGUUACUGAAGCAGGCAUAAUUCCCAAUCUGAUUUAUGUUGUUAUACCAACCAUACCACUGCUCUUAUUGAUACUGGUUGCUUUUGGCACAUGCUGUUUCCAGAUGAUUCAUAGAAGUAAAGGAAGAACAAAAACUAGCCCAAACCAGUCCACAUUGUGGAUUUCCAAGAGCACCAGAAAAGAAAGUAGCAUGGAAGUAUAAUGAGUCACUGAGUUGACUCCAGAAAAAAAAAAUAAGAGUUUUAUAAUUCUGGAUUUGUAUAAGGAAUGGCAUCAGAGCAUUAGCUUGGAAUGGCUUGAAAUACCAAUGGAUCUGCAAGGUGAACUAACCUUCAGAAUCACUCCAACCUGCACGGUGGUCUCCAAUACCCACUUUGAUCCAUCCAUAAUAAUCAUUCAACUACUGCUACUAACCAAAAGGUUGGCAGUUUGAAUCCACCAGAUGGUCUUUGGAAACCCUAUGAGGCAGUUUUACUGUGUCCUCUAGGAUCGCUAGGAGUCAGAAUCCACUUGAUGGUAAGGGGUUUGGUUUUUUUUUUUUUCUUUUUUUUUGGUUUCCAGGUAUAGUUCAAGUCUAGUUUCUUCCUUACGGCCAAUUCACACUGAUUAGUCUCUUUCAAUUGCUUUCCUCCUUACUCUCUUCCACCAUUUUGGCCUAUAUGAACACACAUGCAAGAUGUAUUUUUUUUUUUUGCAUUAUGCAUAAAAAGGCAUGAAUUUUGUCUCCCUAAAUAAAUUGACAGAUUUUGUGUGAUAAGCUAAGUUGAGGUUUACACUGACUCUGGAAAUGAUCCAACAGAUUAAAGCCGUGAGACAAAUUCAUUUAUUCCACAUUUUUACCCUCUAAUGGGCAAUUCAGCUGUGUCUAAAUAGGUUUUUCACAUGUUAGCAAUAUUCACUGUAACACACAUAAAUCAAGGGAAACAUUUGUAAUAAUAGUUGCAUUUCUUUGAUGUGUCUGAGGGUCUUGUUUUGUUUCAUUUUGUUUUGAGACUUAAAAAAUGUUAUCUUGAACUCAAUGGCCAGUCAACAUAAUCCAGGUAAAAAAAAUCCAAUAAAAAUGACAAUUUCAGUUAAUUUACCUGUUAUUUUGAUGCUGGACUUGUGCUUGUGUGUUGUAUAAUUAGAUCAUUUGAGAGGAAUGUACAGUCAAUUUAGUCCCCGCUAUGUUUUUUAUGUGAUAUGAGUUUGAAAUAAGUAUUUUUUAGAUGUGGGGAAGAUAUUCAGGAUACGCUCAGUUUGAAAUGAAAUGUAUUUUGAGAGAAAAACUCAAGAUUCUGAUAAUAGCAAGCUAGGCCAGAAAGAGUUUAUAGCAAUUUAUUUCAAAGAAUAACAGGCUGUGGGAAAAAGUUUAUUCACUUCUUUUUCUAAUUUUUCUCAAACUUUCUUAAGCGUAUGUUUAUGGGAAAUGCUGUAGUUAGAUAAUGGGAAGCCAACCAUUUUACUAAAGGAGAUAGAUAGCCUCUAAGAAUCAUGAAUGGCUUUAUGGAAAAGGCAAAUUAUUCCAUAGUAUGCUAUUUUUUUAAUGCUAUUUAGAGAAAUUAAAAACUCACACAUAAAAUGGAUUUUAGUUCUCUAGAGCAGAAUUAACUUUUCGAUGUUAGACCCCAAAAAAAGCAGAUUUGGAAAACUUGACAUUUCGACUGAAAUAGGCAACUCCCCAUCUUUUUUUUUAUAAGGUAUUUACUAGUAUUUAUAAGGUACUUACUAGUGCUAGGAACACAUGUGUUUAAAAUAACAUUCAUUUGAAUAAAAGAAAAUGAUUAAAAAAAGACUAACAAAGGAAAUGUUAUCUGUGAAAAAACAGCUUUCACAAUAAAAUCAAAAUGCAUUUUUAAAUUCCUCUAUAUUGCAAAGAUUGUUUUUUGUUCCCCCUUCCCCUCCCCUCAGCAUUUUAGUGGUUUAAAAAAAAGGUAACAAUAAAAGCUUUUCGUAACUUUUUACAAAACUCAAUUUCCAUGCUUCUUAGAGUGGAACGGGCACUCUGUCUGCCUUGCAUGUUCAGUUUAGAAAACUAACGCAGAAAACUUUGUAUCCAUUCCGUGAACUCGGAGACGCGGGCGUACACCCCGGGGCGAUUAGGCAGUGCACACUGGUAUCCGAACGACGUCACUCCAACGAGGACCCACCUGUUGUUUUCCUGGCACAUUAAUGGUCCGCCCGAAUCUCCCUUAAGAGUGGUGUCAAGACUGUCAGAGCUACCUUACAUACAUCAGAAGGAAACACUACCUACUCCUGCGCCAUCCGCACAAUCACUGUUGUGUUCGGGCCUAUCGUUGCAGCCAC